ensembl:rRNA 5S_rRNA 5S ribosomal RNA
GUCUACAGCCAUACCACCCUGAACACGCCCGAUCUUGUCUGAUCUCGGGAGCUAAGCAGGGUCGGGUCUGGUUAGUAUUUGGAUGGGAGAAAAAAAGUCAGGCUGGAGUUC